UUGGGUUUAAGGGUGCGUAGGCGGAAUAAUAAGUCAGUUGUGAAAGUUUGCGGCUCAACCGUAAAAUUGCAGUUGAUACUGUUAUUCUUGAGUGUACAUAAGGUAGGCGGAAUUCGUGGUGUAGCGGUGAAAUGCUUAGAUAUCACGAAGAACUCCAAUUGCGAAGGCAGCUUACUGGGGUACAACUGACGCUGAGGCACGAAAGUGUGGGUAUCAAACAGGAUUAGAUACCCUGGUAGUCCACACAGUAAACGAUGAAUACUCGCUGUUUGCAAUAUACCGCAAGUGGCCAAGCGAAAGCAUUAAGUAUUCCACCUGGGGAGUACGCCGGCAACGGUGAAACUCAAAGGAAUUGACGGGGGCCCGCACAAGCGGAGGAACAUGUGGUUUAAUUCGAUGAUACGCGAGGAACCUUACCCAGGCUUAAAUUGCAGAUGAAUAUUUAGGAAACUAGAUAGCCUUCGGGCAUCUGUGAAGGUGCUGCAUGGUUGUCGUCAGCUCGUGCCGUGAGGUGUCGGCUUAAGUGCCAUAACGAGCGCAACCCUUAUUGAUAGUUACUAACAGGUUAAGCUGAGGACUCUAUCGAGACUGCCGUCGUAAGAUGCGAGGAAGGUGGGGAUGACGUCAAAUCAGCACGGCCCUUACGUCUGGGGCUACACACGUGUUACAAUGGGGGGUACAGAAGGUCGCUACCUGGCAACAGGAUGCUAAUCCCAAAAGCCUCUCUCAGUUCGGAUUGGAGUCUGCAACCCGACUCCAUGAAGCUGGAUUCGCUAGUAAUCGCGCAUCAGCCACGGCGCGGUGAAUACGUUCCCGGGCCUUGUACACACCGCCCGUCAAGCCAUGGGAGCCGGGGGUACCUGAAGUACGUAACCGCAAGGAGC
rnacentral:rRNA from 1 species